UAAUAGAGUAUGACACAAUGAAAUUCACCAAGGUGAUUAGGAAAGUUUCCAGAAAGAUUUUGCCUGUAAAUAUUAUAUUGUACAUAAAGUAUAAAAACAUAAUUUUUGGGGCUCUAACUUUCUGAAUAAUUAAGGCUAUUUAUUACAGGCCUUAUGUUCCAAGUAAUUGUUGGUCACAGAGGACUUACAAACUUCUAAAUCUAUAAAGAGUGCUAUGAUACUUACGAUUGCAUUCCAGGAUGAAAUGAACAUGAUUUCUAUGAUCAGAAACUGACUAAUUUCCAUGAUAUAUUUGGAAAACUAAAAAUAAACCCUAGAAAUUGGCUCAAAUAUUCCCCUCCUUGAGCUAGACCCUCUAGUUCAAUAGGAACUAAUGAUGAAUUUGUGAACAUUAAUCACCAUGUCAUAAUCAUUUUUUGUGGAUCUUAUAAUCAUUACUUGUGGAUAUUUCAUGUUUCAUAUCAAUUAAGUUUUUCAAAGAAGCAAAGUUUUAAUGAAUUAAAUGUGUACUACAGUCAAGCAAAAACAGUAUUUUUAGAGCAUCAUGAUAAAGUAGUCCCACAUCAUUUUGGCAUAGAGUAUAACAAAGGAUUCCUUAUUUAGGAGUAGCCUCUCAGAUCAACAGUCCUCUGCAUGAGCAGGGAACAGGGAACAAAAUCAGGCUGAUAAGAGGGAGAAAGUGAAUGUUUCUUGAUCUGUUGUUAUAAUAUGCCAAGACCUUGCCUAGAUGGACCAGCAUCCAAAAGCAUUAUCUUAAGAAGUUCCCAGCACACCUCUCCCUUUUGUUGAAAUAAGAGAGUUUUAAACCCAAUGUAAAACUAUAUACAAUAAGAACAGAUAUCGCAGAUAUCAAGUAUAAAAAUUGAAGCUACCCUGUCUUGAAAAACCAAAAAAAAAAAAAAAAUAGUUACACCCAUCAUAAACAAUAUCAAGAAAGAAAUGUAUUCUAAAGGUUUCAAUAAAUAUCCUAUCUUAAGAAACUAAGUCUUAUAUUUGAAAUCGAUUGGCCAACUCAUGAGAAAAAUGUAACUAUGACUACUUAGUAUUCAACCCUAUUGGAAACCUGAGAGGACAAUAAACAUAAAGUACAAAGAAGCAACUUACAAAAGUGCAAUAAAUGACAGAGGCAACAUUCUACAUAGGCAAUCACCCAAAGACUCAUUUUCAACAUUGGAGGAAAUAACAUUUCCUAAGACCUAGAUCACUGACAGACUAUUUUCAGAGGCAGGAAAAAAUUUAAAUUCAUCUUUGAUGGGGGUGGGUCUUGGAUUUAUCGGUUGCUUUUAUUGGUUAAUUAAUAAAGAAAACUGCUUGGCCCUGAUAGGACAGAAAAUUAGGUAGGCGAAGUAGACAGAACAGAAUGCUGGGAGAAAGAAGCCGAGUCAGGGAGUCGCCAUGAUUCUCCCACUCCAGACAGACGCAGGUUAAGAUCUUUCGUGGUAAGCCAGCUUGUGGUGCUACACAAAAUAUUAAAAAUGGGUUAGAUCAAUAUGUAAAAGUUAGCCAAUAAGAGGUUAUAACUAAUGGGCCAAGCAGUGAUUAAAAGAAUACAGUUUCCAUGUAAUUAUUUGGGGGCAUAAGCUAGCCAUGUGGGCGGCCGGGUGCCGGGGACGCAGCCCCGCCGCUCAUAUUACAACAGAGUAUAAAUAAUUUACAUUGGUAUGAUUUUAUGGUCAAUUUUGUUAUAAGUAUAUGUAUUUCUAAUCUUGAUUUAGGUAUUGUGAUUGUAUAGUUCAUUUAAAAAUGUAAUGUAUAUAGGUUGUUAAUGGAUAAUCAUUGAUAAUUGUCAAGCUUUUAGUCAUGUUAGUUAGAUUUUCUAGAUGUACAUAGAUAUAUUCCAGCUAGAUAGACAUUCUUCAUAUCUUUCAAAGACUACAGAAUAUGGCAUUUAAUGUUUUAAUAACUUAGGGCUUUUCAUGAUAAUGAGACACGUCUGCUCCUGGCAGCACCAAUCUACUUCAAAAGAAAGAUGGGCACCGAAGAGGCUUCUUAUGGAGUUUGAUAGCCAUUUGGACAUGAAACUGCUCAUGCCUGGACUGUUGCAUAAACUGCUAAACUUGCCUAAAGGUGAGAUGGAUUUUCGGGGUUCCUGACUCAUGAAAGAGUCUACAAGACAUUCUACAGGACACAACAAAAGGUAAACUACAUUAUUUCCUGCCAUCUGCUUUCACUUUCAUAUUUUUCUGCCGGAACAAACAUUGAGAUGGGAGCGAGAAAUGAGUCAGCAGCUCUGACGCAGAUCUCCAAGGGCUAAACAAGCAGGGUGGCUGGGAUGAACAAACAGCCCUUUUCUGAAACAAUUUGCGCACAAUGUGAUCAACUAAAUCAAUAAAAUAUAUGAACUACAAAAGCAAGUACCUUCUCUGAAACCAGCUUGCUUGAGAGAUACACAACACAUCUGGGUGUUUGCACUACUCCAGGUCUCUGCAUCAUUGCUUGAUCUAAACCAGCCUUGGGUAAGAAGAUGAGUGCUUUUGUGAUAAGAGGAGAUUUAAAGAGUUUCCAACUUCUGUGAAGGUAAUGUUGCUAAAUUCCUCAAGCUUCUUAGAUCCUGCUUUAUUAUGCCACCAGUUUCUACUUCUCAGCAUUGCUCACCGGAAGCAAAGGACUUGAAAACUCCCUAUUCUUGUUCUUAGCAGUGUCUACCCAUAGCUCUCUCUAGGCACAGGCUGCUCAUAAUCAAACAGUACUAUAAAUGUUUCCUCAUCUAACAGCUCCUGUGGUUGAUAGGAGUGUCCUGUCUCUCUUCUAACCACUGCAGGCUGAACUAUAUUUUACCUAUUAUGUGCAAAUACAAACUCUCCCUUAUGAGCCCCCACAAAUGAAAAGAAUACUUUGUGCUAAUUCCAUGUUAUAAUGGUCUUGGUAUUUCACCUCAAUUUUUCUGUGUUCAAAGUACCAUGCUUGGGAAAUCAAAGGGUGAGUUUCUCUGCAAAUUCUAAAAAUUUCUGUUUUUGAAACUGAUCCACCUAAGCUCCUCUAGCUUGUAAAUUAUCUCCAAGGCAAUUGCAUAGUCACUUAACGACUGAUUUUCUGUCACAAUACAAAUUUAUUUACAAUUAUAAUUCACCGUUAUUCAACUCAUGUUCACUUUUACUUUUUUUCCUAAGAACUUACUCUUUACUUAACACCUGUGGUAUCUUCCACUUUUUGGUAUUGAUCAGGCAAUAUGUCCAUAGUUCCAGUUUCACUUCUGAGGAGCCAUCACUUAUUGUCCUGACCUACCCAUUUCCAUACUUGUGGAAGGGAUGAGGAUUAAGAUCAAAAUUUACAAGAGAAAAUAUAUAGAUAUUGAAGGACACCCAGUGAAUACUGAUAUAUAUCUCAAGUUUUUUUGUUUUGUUUUGUUUUGUUGCUUUUUUCGAGACAGGGUUUCUCUGUGGUUUUGGAGCCUGUCCUGGAACUAGUACUUGUAGACCAGGCUGGUCUCAAACUCACAGAGAUCCACCUGCCUCUGCCUCCCAAGUGCUGGGAUUAAAGGUGUGUGCCACCACCGCCAGGCCAUGUCUCAAGUUUUUUAUUCAAAGUUCUUAUAUAACUCAGUCCAAAGAUGGUUUAAGAGGCAAGACAUCCUUGCCAUGAUACAAAGAACAAACAAAGUAAUAUUCUCU